GCUCCAGCCCCCACAAGGUGGGGCAGUGGCAUAUAUACAGAACUUCAUUCUCCCAUCCUGGACUGCAUUGUGAAGGCUGCAGAAGAGAUGGCAAGAUGAAAGCUUUGCUAUUUGCAUUGUUGGUGGUGGCAUUUGUGUGCAAGGACCCAGUAAAGAGUCUGAAAUGUUACGAGACUGACCCAUUUAGAAAAAAAACAUGUUCGGAAACAGAUAGAUUCUGUUUUAUUCUGCAGACUAUUCUUGGAGCGCCCCGGCGUAAAGGAUGUGCUCCAGUGUGCGUUGUAGGGGGCUAUGUGGUGGAGAUUUCGUGUUGCAAAACUGACUUUUGCAAUGUUUAAAAUGUUGUUUGGGGUUUUGCUGCCAUCCAUCAUGGACCAUCCUGGCAGAUUUAAGCUUGUGGCCUUUACGGUCCAUAAUGCACCCCCUCAGCUUCUUUGGACACAUCGUCCUCUCUCCUUUUUCUCCUGGUCUGCAAGACUUGUUCUGCUCUCUCUGUAGCUUGGCAACUGAAUAAAUUUGUGCAUUUACAUUCAA